CCUACGGGAGGCAGCAGUGGGGAAUAUUGGACAAUGGGCGAAAGCCUGAUCCAGCAAUGCCGCGUGAGUGAUGAAGGCCUUAGGGUUGUAAAGCUCUUUUUACCAGGGAUGAUAAUGACAGUACCUGGAGAAUAAGCUCCGGCUAACUCCGUGCCAGCAGCCGCGGUAAUACGGAGGGAGCUAGCGUUGUUCGGAAUUACUGGGCGUAAAGCGUACGUAGGCGGUUAUUCAAGUCAGAGGUGAAAGCCCGGGGCUCAACCCCGGAACGGCCUUUGAAACUAGAUAGCUAGAAUCUUGGAGAGGUUAGUGGAAUUCCGAGUGUAGAGGUGAAAUUCGUAGAUAUUCGGAAGAACACCAGUGGCGAAGGCGACUAACUGGACAAGUAUUGACGCUGAGGUACGAAAGCGUGGGGAGCAAACAGGAUUAGAUACCCUGGUAGUCCACGCCGUAAACCGAUGAUAACUAGCUGUUCGGGCACUUGGUGCUUGAGUGGCGCAGCUAACGCAUUAAGUUAUCCGCCUGGGGAGUACGGUCGCAGAUUAAAACUUAAAGGAAUUGACGG
rnacentral:rRNA from 1 species